rnacentral:rRNA from 1 species
UGUCUCUAGUUACCAUCAUUAAGUUGGGGACUCUAGAGAUACUGCCAAGGUAACUUGGAGAAGUGGGGAUGACGUCAAGUCCUCAUGGCCUUUAUGUCCAGGGCUACACACGUGCUACAAUGGACGGUACAGAGGGUAGCGAUAUCGCGAGAUGGAGCCAAUCCCAAAAAGCCGUUCCCAGUUCGGAUUGGAGUCUGCAACUCGACUCCAUGAAGUUGGAAUCGCUAGUAAUCGCGGAUCAGCAUGCCGCGGUGAAUACGUUCCCGGGCCUU